rnacentral:misc_RNA from 1 species
UGCAUUUACUUGUGUUUGGCAUAUACAGGAAAUUGGGUAAUGGAAAUUGCAUUUCUAGGCAUGGUAAAACUUAGCCAUUUUCAAGGUAAAUAACUUCCAUUUCAAAAUGGCAAGUCUUGUUUCAAAAGGAAAUUGUGUCUAUUUUGUUAAGUCUCUGUGGUCUCCAUUAUUGUUUCUACCGUUAUUUUGUUAAAUCUUUUGAGGGUUUUGCACAACAAUCUUAUAACGUUAACAAGUACAGUCCUGACACCUCGUAAAAUUAUGGAAUGCAAAUGUGAGCAGAUGGGGAGUAAUUGAAGGUCAUUCACACUAUCCUCUACUGUAGAAUUGAGAUAAAAAGACCUGUUAUCCUGAUGCUUUCUCUGCACAAUCAUUCCUGCAUAUCUCUAAAAAAUCACAUCAUCCUAGAGCUGCUCUUACAUGCAUCUCUAGGAUCCUCUUUUCUUUUAUUUGGAUGAUAAUAUUGAUAGAGAUACUUAAAUGGUAAUGUCCUGAUGAUGUUAUUCUGCUGUGCAGUAUGAU